rnacentral:rRNA from 1 species
GUAGAGUGCAUUUUCUAGAGGUGGAAUUCCCUUCGGGGCUUUCUGCAAGGUGCUGCAUGGUUGUCGUCAGCUCGUGCCCGUGAGGUGUCGGGUUAAGUCCCAUAACGAGCGCAACCCUUAUCGUUAGUUGCCAUCUGGUAAAAGCAGGGGACUCUAGCGAAACUGCCACCGUAAGGUGAGAGGAAGGUGGGAUGACGUCAAAUCAGCACGGCCCUUAUGUCCAGGGCUACACACGUGUUACAAUGGCCGGUACAGAGGGCAGCUACCUGGUGACAGGAUGCUAAUCUCGAAAACCGGUCUCAGUUCGGAUCGAAGUCUGCAACUCGACUUCGUGAAGCUGGAUUCGCUAGUAAUCGCGCAUCAGCCAUGGCGCGGUGAAUACGUUCCCGGGCCUU